rnacentral:rRNA from 1 species
UGUUUUUUGCUUAAUUAAUAAAAGAUAUGUUCUGCUCGGUGAUUUUUAACAGCCGCGGUACUUUGACCGUGCAAAGGUAGCAUAAUCAUUUGCCUCGUAAUUGGGGGCUAGUAUGAAUGAAUGAACGAGGGCUUGGCUUUAUUUUGAAGGUUUCAGGAAUUUUCUUUUUUAGUGAAGAAGCUAAAAUUGAGAAAGGGGACAAGAAGACCCUUUUGAGCUUUACUAUGUUUCUUUUUUUUAAAGUUGAUUAGUUUGGUUGGGGCGACCAAGGAAAUAGAUCUUCCUUAUUCAUGGUGAUCCGUUUUUAACGAUAAAAAGAACAAGUUACCAAAGGGAUAACAGCGUAAUCUUCUUUGAGAGUUCUUAUUAAAUGGAAUGAUUGCGACCUCGAUGUUGACUUAUGGUUUCCUUAUGACGCAGAAGUUAUAAGGGUGGGUCUGUUCGACCUUUAAAACUUU